rnacentral:tRNA from 1 species
CGGGACGUGGCGCAGCCUGGUAGCGUACUUGUCUGGGGGACAAGUGGCCGCCGGUUCGAAUCCGGCCGUCCCGACCA